UACGUAGGGGGCUAGCGUUGUCCGGAAUCAUUGGGCGUAAAGAGCGUGUAGGCGGCCACGCAGGUCCGUUGUGAAAACUGGAGGCUCAACCUCCAGACGUCGACGGAAACCGUAUGGCUAGAGUCCGGAAGAGGAGAGUGGAAUUCCUGGUGUAGCGGUGAAAUGCGCAGAUAUCAGGAAGAACACCAAUGGCGAAGGCAGCUCUCUGGGACGGUACUGACGCUGAGACGCGAAAGCGUGGGGAGCGAACAGG
rnacentral:rRNA from 1 species